GGAAUCUUCCACAAUGGACGAAAGUCUGAUGGAGCAAUGCCGCGUGAGUGAAGAAGGUUUUCGGAUCGUAAAACUCUGUUGUUGAAGAAGAACAUAUGUGAGAGUAACUGUUCACGUACUGACGGUAUUCAACCAGAAAGCCACGGCUAACUACGUGCCAGCAGCCGCGGUAAUACGUAGGUGGCAAGCGUUAUCCGGAUUUAUUGGGCGUAAAGCGAGCGCAGGCGGUUUCUUAAGUCUGAUGUGAAAGCCUUCGGCUUAACCGAAGAAGUGCAUCGGAAACUGGGAAACUUGAGUGCAGAAGAGGACAGUGGAACUCCAUGUGUAGCGGUGAAAUGCGUAGAUAUAUGGAAGAACACCAGUGGCGAAGGCGGCUGUCUGGUCUGUAACUGACGCUGAGGCUCGAAAGCAUGGGUAGCGAACA
rnacentral:rRNA from 1 species